GUGCUCGAUCUGCUGCGGGCAGAUGAAAUGGAUGUGGCUGUCGAACCCGCCGGCGGUGAGUAUCUUGCCUUCGCCGGCGAUGACGUCGGUGCCGGGACCGAUGAUGAUAUCGACAUUCGGCUGAACGUCCGGAUUGCCGGCCUUGCCGAUCGCGGUGAUCACGCCGGCGGUGAUGGCGACGUCGGCCUUAACGAUGCCCCAGUGGUCGACGAUCAGCGCGUUGGUAAUCACCGUGUCGGCGGCGCCGUCCUUGUUGGUCACCUGCGACUGGCCCAUGCCGUCGCGGAUCAC
rnacentral:sRNA from 1 species